rnacentral:rRNA from 1 species
GACGAACGCUGGCGGCGUGCUUAACACAUGCAAGUCGAACGGAAAGGCCCUGCUUUGGUUGGGUGCUCGAGUGGCGAACGGGUGAGUAACACGUGAGUAACCUGCCCUUGACUUUUGGAUAACUUCAGGAAACUGUGGCUAAUACCGGAUAGGAGCUCCUGCUGCAUGGUGGGGGUUGGAAAGUUUCGGCGGUUGGGGAUGGACUCGCGGCUUAUCAGCUUGUUGGUGGGGUAGUGGCUUACCAAGGCUUUGACGGGUAGCCGGCCUGAGAGGGUGACCGGCCACAUUGGGACUGAGAUACGGCCCAGACUCCUACGGGAGGCAGCAGUGGGGAAUAUUGCACAAUGGGCGGAAGCCUGAUGCAGCAACGCCGCGUGCGGGAUGACGGCCUUCGGGUUGUAAACCGCUUUCGCCUGUGACGAAGCGUGAGUGACGGUAAUGGGUAAAGAAGCACCGGCUAACUACGUG